UACGGGGGGAGCAAGCGUUGUUCGGAUUUACUGGGCGUAAAGGGCGCGUAGGCGGUCGUGACAAGUCACUUGUGAAAUCUCCGGGCUUAACUCGGAACGGUCAAGUGAUACUGUCGGACUAGAGUACAGAAGGGGCAACUGGAAUUCUCGGUGUAGCGGUGAAAUGCGUAGAUAUCUGGAGGAACACCGGUGGCGAAGGCGGCAUCCUGGACCGACACUGACGCUGAGGCACGAAGGCCAGGGGAGCAAACGGG
rnacentral:rRNA from 1 species